AGGAGACACACGAGGCACAGCCCUGCCAGGAGCAGAUGGCACCGAGCAGAGAGAAUCACUCAGAGCGACAACAGGAGAACCCCAAGGGAUCCCCACCUGGGGUGUGGGAGGAUCCACGGAGGCUUCCUGGAGGAGGAAUAAUGGCUCUUGACAGAAACGACUCCCGCUAGCAAUUAGCCGUGAGGAGUGCAGAACUCGGCUGCAGAAGUAGAGGAAGCUCGCCUGGAGAGGGUGGGCGACAAUCGCA
rnacentral:lncRNA from 1 species